rnacentral:rRNA from 1 species
CGUGAAAACUCACAGCUUAACUGUGGGCGUGCGGGCGAUACGGGCAGACUGGAGUACUGCAGGGGAGACUGGAAUUCCUGGUGUAGCGGUGGAAUGCGCAGAUAUCAGGAGGAACACCGGUGGCGAAGGCGGGUCUCUGGGCAGUAACUGACGCUGAGGAGCGAAAGCGUGGGGAGCGAACAGGAUUAGAUACCCUGGUAGUCCACGCCGUAAACGGUGGGUACUAGGUGUGGGUUUCCU